AGCGGAGGGCACCAGCGGCUCAGACUGUGCGAAGAGGAUGCGGAACUCCUCGUCGAAGCUGGAGACCAGCUCGCCCUGGAACACGUGCGCCAGGCUGCGGUGGAUCUUCUCGAAUGACCACAUGAAGCUGUGGACGGGUCGGGCCAGAGUCAAGACAAGGGAGUGGGCCAAGCGGGCACCGGCUGGGCCAGGAGGGGCUCGGGGGACGUGAGGUCUGCAAGGACCAGGGCGGGACAAGCCCGGCUGUGCCAGCGCUGCAGCAGAGGAUGGCCCUGGUGGGGUGCCGGGGCUCCAGGAGGCAGCCCUCGGGGAGGGGCUGGGGGGCAGCGGGUUGGGCGUACCUGUAGCUCCCACUCAUCACCACAGCACAGUCCACCAGCAGGAACUUCUCCUUCACGUGGCCCUUGAAAGACUUCCCAGUGCGGCAGUAGUAGGUUGACUCGGCACUUGUCGGCCAUGUCCAGGAAGUGCUGCGCGUUCAUCUCAUCCAGUAGGAUGUAGACUGGGACUCGGCGGGCAGCAGCCUCCAGCACUUCACUGAGCAGGUCCACAUCGGUAAACAUGUCCAUCACCACAGCCACUACCUGGGGGGGGGGGGUCAGGACAGAGGGCCAGACUCCCCUGCUGUCCCCAUGCCAUUCUCCAGCCUUACCUCCAGGCCCCUGGAUCACCCAAAAACAUCGUACGGCAGCUACUCACCCCUCUAACGGGAGAGUGGGGCCAUGUCUGUGAAGGUGGGUGAGGAGGAAGGAACCCAGCAGAGGGGGUGUGGGGCUGCCUCCUGGAUUGGUGGUCCAAAAGGGAGCCCAAGGCAGAGCAGGGUCUGCAGGCUCACCCCUGGGCACAGAACCCUGGUUGGGGAUGGCCAGCACAGGGGGUCUUGAAACACCUGUGCCCUACAGAUGGCCAGGCUGCCCCAGCCUCAGUUCUGCCCUGUGAGUGGGUCACUGUUCAGGGCAGGGGGGCAGAGGCAGGGGUCUUUAGCGUCUGGCCCUGAUGCCUCAGUCUCCAUGGUUUAACAGGCUCCCUCCACUGUUUGCCAACUGCCAAGGGCCAUCCAGGCUGGGAGGGUGCUCCUCCCUCCCAAAGCACCUGAGUUUCCGGGGACUAGCCGUCACCAUGGGCAAGCAAACCUGUGUGGAACUUGCAGCCUGCGAUGGCCACACCCUUGGCGGCCCUGGAAGAAUUCUGCCAGGGAGCCCCUGCUGCAGCUUGAGCCCUGGGCUCGCUCCACCACAAGCUGGUCAUGCUUUGUGGUCCCCCCUCACUCCACUCCUGCAUGCCCUCAGGCCACCCUUCCCCACUGCCUGCCCGCCACGCUGGCACACCUGCUGGGCGGAACGGAUCAUCCUGCGAGCCUCCUCCUUGAUGCUGGGGCUGUCAGGUGGUGGUGGCUGCACCAGUGUGGUUACCUCUGUGCCCUGGAAGCCGAAGGUCAGGGGCCAGCCCAGGUCAAGUUCAGGGACAGCCUGGUCUGAAUUCACUGGCCAGUAGGUGCCUGAGGAGCCAUCCAUAUCCACAUCAGGAGGGCUGCCUUCAGGGGGCUCUCGGGCCACAUACUGUGGGGGCCGCAGGUGGCGGCUCACAUGUUCCAGCUCCUCAGGGCACAGGAAGUCAGGUGCCCCCUCAGAUGCCAGGAAGCGGCUAUAGGCCUCUGAACCACCCUCAGCCAGCGCGUCCACUGCCAGGCGGUAGUACUCUUUGUAGUGAGGCGGCAGGUACCCAGGUGCCAGUGGGUUGUCCCCCUGUGAGGAGCUCUGGGAGCGACGGGCCAUGUUGGGGCCAGGGGCCUGGAGGGGCAAGGAGACGAGUUACCAGGGGCACUAGGGACCGCAUCGCCUACCCCCUCAAGUGGACACACACUGUAGGGGGGCUGUCGGUGACCUUGGGUGGGCUGGAGUUUAGCCCCUGCCUGGGAGGCCUUCCAGGGGACCAGCCAAGCCAGGCUCACAGAUAGCGCCCCAGACCCUAGUAUACCCUCUAGCCGGGGGGCCUCAGCAGAGUGCCAGGGCACAGGUACCCCAGUCCUGUCUCCCUUCCUCAGGCCUCGCUGGCUGGGCCCUGGCUCUCACUAGCAUCCAGGGGCUGCCCACCUCACCCUUUAUGAUUUUUGUGACCCCAGACGUUUUUGCUUUGUGCAUCUCUUCCUCCAUAGGUAUAUUUAAGAUAUUUUAUGACUGUUGUUUAAACACAAAUAUAAUCCAGGUUGGGGCCACUGUUA